GACAGAGGCCCCGAGCGUUAAUCGGAAUUACUGGGCUUAAAGGGUGCGUAGGCUGAUCCGAAAGUGCUCCGUGAAAUCCCCCGGCUCAACCGGGGAACAGCGAGGCAUACUGCGGAUCUUGAGGCAGGUAGGCGCCGAGGGAACAGUAGGUGGAGCGGUGAAAUGCGUAGAUAUCUACUGGAACGCCGAUGGUGAAGACGCUCGGCUGGGCCUGUCCUGACGCUGAGGCACGAAAGCGUGGGGAGCGAACAGG
rnacentral:rRNA from 1 species